rnacentral:rRNA from 1 species
CUUGGUCAUUUAGAGGAAGUAAAAGUCGUAACAAGGUUUCCGUAGGUGAACCUGCGGAAGGAUCAUUAGUGAUUGCCUUUAUAGGCUUAUAACUAUAUCCACUUACACCUGUGAACUGUUCUACUACUUGACGCAAGUCGAGUAUUUUUACAAACAAUGUGUAAUGAACGUCGUUUUAUUAUAACAAAAUAAAACUUUCAACAACGGAUCUCUUGGCUCUCGCAUCGAUGAAGAACGCAGCGAAUUGCGAUAAGUAAUGUGAAUUGCAGAAUUCAGUGAAUCAUCGAAUCUUUGAACGCAGCUUGCGCUCUCUGGUAUUCCGGAGAGCAUGCCUGUUUCAGUGUCAUGAAAUCUCAACCACUAGGGUUUCCUAAUGGAUUGGAUUUGGGCGUCUGCGAUUUCUGAUCGCUCGCCUUAAAAGAGUUAGCAAGUUUGACAUUAAUGUCUGGUGUAAUAAGUUUCACUGGGUCCAUUGUGUUGAAGCGUGCUUCUAAUCGUCCGCAAGGACAAUUACUUUGACUCUGGCCUGAAAUCAGGUAGGACUACCCGCUGAACUUAAGCAUAUCAAUAAGCGGAGGAAAUCACU